AGAGUUUGAUCCUGGCUCAGAAUUAACGCUGGCGGCGUGCCUAACACAUGCAAGUCGCACGAGAAAUCUCCUGCUUGCAGGAGAAAGUAAAGUGUCGCACGGGUGAGUAACACGUGGGUAAUCUACCUCUGAAUCGGGGAUAACGUUCCGAAAGGAGUGCUAAUACCGGAUAAUAUCUGACGCACCUCGGUGUGUCGGAUCAAAGGGGGCCUCUACAUGUAAGCUUCUGUUUGGAGAUGAGCCCGCGUGCCAUUAGCUAGUUGGCGGGGUAACGGCCCACCAAGGCGACGAUGGCUAGCUGGUCUGAGAGGAUGGCCAGCCACACUGGAACUGAGACACGGUCCAGACUCCUACGGGAGGCAGCAGUGAGGAAUCUUGCGCAAUGGGGGAAACCCUGACGCAGCAACGCCGCGUGAGUGAAGAAGGCCUUCGGGUCGUAAAGCUCUGUCAAGUGGGAAGAAAACGCUUUGUGCAAAUAACAUGAAGCACUGACGGUACCACUGAAGGAAGCACCGGCUAACUCCGUGCCAGCAGCCGCGGUAAUACGGAGGGUGCAAGCGUUAUUCGGAAUUACUGGGCGUAAAGGGCGCGCAGGCGGCUUCUUAAGUCAGGCGUGAAAGCCCGGGGCUAAACCCCGGAAGUGCGUUUGAAACUGAGGAGCUUGAGUACGGGAGAGGGAAGUGGAAUUCCUGGUGUAGAGGUGAAAUUCGUAGAUAUCAGGAGGAACAUCGGUGGCGAAGGCGACUUCCUGGACCGAUACUGACGCUGAGGCG
rnacentral:rRNA from 1 species